rnacentral:rRNA from 1 species
GACGUAGGUGGCGAACGUUAUCCGGAAUCAUUGGGCGUAAAGGGUGCGUAGAUUGCAUGAUAAGUUAUUAGUGGGAAAUCGAGGCUCAACCUCGUGGAAGCUAGUAAUACUGUUUUGCUUGAGUACAGAAGAGGUUAACGGAACUCCAUGUGGAGCGGUAAAAUGCGUAGAUAUAUGGAAGAACACCAAUAACGGCGAAGGCAGUUAACUAUUCUGUUACUGACAUUGAGGCACGAAAGCGUGGGGAGCAAAACGG